UCACAAAUGCAGUGCAUCAGAGCCUUUGUUGCACAGCAACCAGAUGAGCUAAGUUUAGAGAAAGCUGAUGUUCUAUUAGUUCACCAGCAGAGUACUGAUGGCUGGGUGGAAGGGACUCGUCUGUCAGACAGACAACGUGGUUGGGCCCCAGAGUCUCACCUGGAGACAAUAGUCAGUGACAAAGCAAGAAAGCGCAACCUGCUGGACACCGUGAAAAUUGCUACAGCGGCAAUGUGAAGCGAUCAAUGUUCUCAAGUGGACUUUUUCAACCACUAUUUUUUAGUAUUACUUUAAAGUCUUAAGCAAAAAGGUCUUCAAGAACUUCAAGGGUUUAUGUCUUAACUUCAUGGGAAGUUUCUAUUUAUUUUGUGUAUACACCUAAGCUGAUAAGGGUGAUGUGGGUGUUAUGGCCUCACCCAUGUCAGGGUACUACUCCACGCCCUGCGAAAGAGUCUGGUAAGAUGCUGUAUUAAGGCAACUGAACUCUUUAGAUAUCCCAUGGACAAAAAUGGACCUUGCAAUUUGUGCAAAUACAGCCAUAAACAGAACCUGCUCCAACUGAGCUUCUAUGCAGCUUCCAUAGUUUUUAUAUAAGACUAUUUUAUGAAUUGGAAGUGGGGAGAAACUCCUGGGCAGAACUAUGGACUAGAUUUUGUUGUCCUUAUUAUGAGCAAGCUGUCUAGCUGAGGAACCAAGAAAUCUGGAUAUAGGACACCUGCAGCAAAACUACUUGUUCUCUGUUAUAUAUAAACAUCAGGUCCCCUUCAGUGUGGAAUAUAAAUGCUGUCAGACUGCAGCCUCGUGGGAAUUCCGUUUGAAGAGGAGAUUUUGUUGUGCACCAGGACACACGAUGCAAAGGACAAAAUUAUUACCAAUUCUCAAAAACUUGGACUUUAACACAGUGCAAAUUUUAUUUAGGAUCAUGAAUUAUGGAUGGCGACUUUAUAAAACCAAAAGGUUUACAAUACCCAAGGUUGUCUACAAUGUACAUAAUAUAGGUUUUUAACAUAAAAGCUAAAAGUAUUGUUUUCAUGGAAUAAUUCCAUCUCUGCUUAUAACUGUAAUUUGCCUUCAAAAUAAACAGAUAAUUAGUUU